rnacentral:rRNA from 1 species
GAACGCUGGCGGCGUGCCUAACACAUGCAAGUCGCACGAGAAAGUCCGCUUCNGCGGAUGAGUAAAGUGGCGAACGGGUGAGUAACACGUGGGUAACCUGCCCUCAGGAGGAGGAUAACUCGGGGAAACCUGAGCUAAUACUCCAUAAGACCACGAGCUGAAAUGCUUGUGGUAAAAGAAGCAAUUCACCUGAGGAUGGGCCCGCGGCCUAUCAGGUAGUUGGUAGGGUAAUGGCCUACCAAGCCUAUGACGGGUAGCCGAGCUGAGAGGCUGGCCGGCCACACUGGGACUGAGACACGGCCCAGACUCCUACGGAAGGCAGCAGUGGGGAAUAUUGGGCAAUGGGCGAAAGCCUGACCCAGCGACGCCGCGUGGGGGAAGAAGGCCUUCGGGUUGUAAACCCCUUUUGCAGGGGACGACACAGGACGGUACCCUGCGAAUAAGCCACGGCUAACUCUGUGCCAGCAGCCGCGGUAAGACAGAGGUGGCAAGCGUUGCUCGGAUUCACUGGGCUUAAAGGGCGCGUAGGUGGUUUUGUAAGUCUAAGGUGGAAUU